UUAAUGGAGUUUCAGAGUCAAAAGUAUCCCAAGUUGUGUCACUUCUGUGACAUGGUCUGAAAUGAGAAAAUCCCCACCACUGUGACACCGUUACAAAAAUAGCCAGCACUGGCAAGGGGGCAUCAACUGACUUCAGUAAAGGAGGGAAAUACUGGCAAGCUCAAGCCUUGACCUCCAGCAGUGAUAUUCUUGUAUCAAGACUUGGAGGUCUACACACAUAUCCACCUAUUUCUGUCGGAGUCUACCCUUGCUGCAAUCUAUCCCUGGGCAGAGAGCCAGUGCAAAAUCUCUCCAGCACAGAAUCCCCACUUGAGCCAUGGGUUUAACUGGAACAUAAUGAAGGGAGUGGCUGAAAAUAACCUGCCCUUACAAGGCAAUCACAUUUCAGGAUUCCCAGGCCAUAGGGAAAAAGCAUCUGUAAACAGCAGGGUCUCUGGGUCCUGCCUUUCCCAUCACCUUCUUCUCCUUGGAAAAGGAAACCUUGAGAAACUUCUGUGAAAGCAGCAGUCCCAAUGUGGGAAAGAGAACUUUUAGUGGCUUUGUUCUCCCUUGAACUGCCCCUCUGUGGCUAUGCCAACUGCAGGCGAGCAGUGGAGUGCACUUUUUCCCAGUUCUGUACAAUGUGAGAGCAGGGGAAUGUGUGCUCCAGGAGCCUCUUUGCAGACGGGGCAAAUUUUAAAAAUGCUGUAGAAUUUGGAAGAGUUUGAGAGCAAACACCUUCAAAUAUGGAGAAGCUUUCAUGGAAAGAAAAGACCAAGAGGAAGCAGGGUUAUCCAUGGACAUAUGAAUGGAUAUCGGAUAAAAGAUAAAUCAGUGUCAUCAACCCACUGGGAAGACCAGGAUGUAAUAAAAUAAAGCAUUUACAAGGAAAAAAG